rnacentral:misc_RNA from 1 species
GUAAUAUUCACACGCUCUCUCUCCUCUGCGCCCUUGUUUUUGUUUUCCUGCCGCUCAGCUGCCCUAUGCUACGUUGCGAAAGGGCGUGUUGUCAAGCAGCUGUGCAGAGAGGACAAAAACGUCGUUGGGCGUUAUGGAGAGUGCCACAGCACAAAGCGGAAAAGUCGGCGCUCUCCCGAUGGCACCGAGGACAGGGGUGAUUUCAUCAUUUUGACGCCAUUAGCACGCAGAUGCGCAGCGGAGGCAAACCCCUCUUGCGCUGGUAUACUUGCUGAGAGCAAACAACGGCAGCCUGCUCUCACUAGUCCCACCGCAUAACUCCUCUUUGGUGCUGAUUCCCUCUUUUGUUUUGUCGUCAUACGCCAUGCGUGUAUUCGUGAUGAUGCCCCCUCAUCAUAUUUAUCGUCCUCUCCCUCCUCUAUUUUUUUCUCCUCUCCCUUCUUCUGUGCGUCUUACCGUUUCGUCUCUCCUGUUCUCACGCUGCACCUGAUACUUUCCUUCUGGUGGUGGUGGGGUGAUGCCACCUACAUAACCACCAACGCGGCUUUUUUCUUUACAUAUCUGCCAUGUUCCCUGCUCACACACACACGCACCAACCUACGCUUAAUCAAAACGAGUUUCUCCCCUUCAG